AGUGAACGCUGGCGGCGUGCUUAACACAUGCAAGUCGAACGAGAACGGAUUAUAGCUUGCUAUAAUUGUCAGCUAAGUGGCUCACGGGCGAGUAAUGUAUAGGUAAUAUGCCUCUUACUAAGGGAUAACAAAUGGAAACGUUUGCUAAUACCUUAUACUCCUUAUUAACAUAAGUUAAUAAGUGAAAGAUUUAUUGGUAAGAGAUUAGCCUGUAUUGUAUCAGUUAGUUGGUGGGGUAAUGGCUUACCAAGACUAUGACACAUAACUGGUUUGAGAGGAUGAUCAGUCACACUGGAACUGAGACACGGUCCAGACUCCUACGGGAGGCAGCAGUGGGGAAUAUUGCACAAUGGACGAAAGUCUGAUGCAGCAACGCCGCGUGGAGGAUGACACAUUUCGGUGCGUAAACUCCUUUUAUAUGAGAAGAUAAUGACGGUAUUAUAUGAAUAAGCACCGGCUAACUCCGUGCCAGCCGCCGCCGUAA
rnacentral:rRNA from 1 species